UACGUAGGGGGCAAGCGUUGUCCGGAAUCAUUGGGCGUAAAGCGCGUGUAGGCGGUUCGGUAAGUCUGCUGUGAAAGUCCAGGGCUCAACCCUGGGAUGCCGGUGGAUACUGUCGAACUAGAGUACGGAAGAGGCGAGUGGAAUUCCCGGUGUAGCGGUGAAAUGCGCAGAUAUCAGGAAGAACACCCGUGGCUAAGGCGGCUCUCUAGUACGGUACUGACGCUGAGACGCGAAAGCGUGGGGAGCGAACAGG
rnacentral:rRNA from 1 species